rnacentral:lncRNA from 1 species
AUGGACUCUGUCUCUGAGCUCACCUGCAUCUACUCAGGCCCCAUUCUGCAUGUUGAGGGUCUUAUCUUAUCAUGGAAGAUAAGAUAAAUGCCACCAUUAAAGUAGCUGGUGGAAAUGUUGAACCUUUCUGGCCUGGCUUGUUUGCAGAGGCCCUGGACAAUGUCAACAUCAGGAGCCUCAUAUGCGCUGGAGAGGCCAGUGGACCUGCUCCAGCACCUGGUGCUGCACCAGUGGGAGGUCCUGCUCCCUCCACCACUGCAGCCCAAGCUGAAGAGAGGGAAGUGGAAUCAAAGAAAGAAGAAUCCGAGGAGUCUGAUGAUGCAUGGGCUUUGGUCUUUUUUGAC